rnacentral:rRNA from 1 species
CAGUCGCCGCGGUAAUACGUAGGUGGCAAGCGUUGUCCGGAAUUAUUGGGCGUAAGGGGCUCGCAGGCGGUUUCUUAAGUCUGAUGUGAAAGCCCCCGGCUCAACCGGGGAGGGUCAUUGGAAACUGGGAAACUUGAGUGCAGAAGAGGAGAGUGGAAUUCCACGUGUAGCGGUGAAAUGCGUAGAGAUGUGGAGGAACACCAGUGGCGAAGGCGACUCUCUGGUCUGUAACUGACGCUGAGGAGCGAAAGCGUGGGGAGCGAACAGGAUUAGAGACCCCGGUAGUCCCUGUCUCUUAUAC